ensembl:rRNA 5S_rRNA 5S ribosomal RNA
GUCUACAGCCAUACCACCCUGAACAUGCCUGAUCUCAUCUGAUCUCAGAAGCUAAACAGGGGUGGGCCUGGUUAGUACUUGGAUGGGACAAAGGGAAGACAAGGGGGUGCCUGGGUGGCUCAGUUGGCU